GAAUAUGAGGUUUUGAGUUAAAUAGUAGCCUUCAGGAUCACAGAGCAUUAAGAAAAGGAAAAUUGUAACUUGCCCUGGCCAGUGUGGUUCAGUGGAUUGAGUGCUGGACUGUGAACCAAAGAAAAGGAAAACUGUGCUCUAAGUCUUCUGAAAAAGAUGAAUUCAGUCUUCUGUGAUUAACUCUCACACCCUCUGAUCCCACGAUAAGAGGGAUGAAUUCCUGCUAGAGCAACUAGAUAUUGAUGGAAUCUGCAAAAUAAAGACAUACCUGAAGAGUGUGAAAGAGGAAACCGAAGAGAGGCCCAGAUGG